UACGUAGGGUGCAAGCGUUGUCCGGAAUUAUUGGGCGUAAAGAGCUUGUAGGCGGUUUGUCGCGUCUGGUGUGAAAUUUCGGGGCUCAACCCCGAACUUGCAGUGGGUACGGGCAGGCUAGAGUGUGGUAGGGGAGACUGGAAUUCCUGGUGUAGCGGUGAAAUGCGCAGAUAUCAGGAGGAACACCGAUGGCGAAGGCAGGUCUCUGGGCCGCUACUGACGCUGAGAAGCGAAAGCAUGGGGAGCGAACAGG
rnacentral:rRNA from 1 species